rnacentral:rRNA from 1 species
AGGUGCUGCAUGGUUGUCGUCAGCUCGUGCCGUGAGGUGUUGGGUUAAGUCCCGCAACGAGCGCAACCCCUAUCUCCAGUUGCUAGCAGGUAAUGUGGGACUCUAGAGAGACUGCCGGCGUAAGCCGCGAGGAAGGUGGGGACGACGUCAAAUCAUCAUGGCCUUUAUGCCUGGGGCGACACACGUGCUACAAUGGCGUAUACAGAGGGCAGCCAGACCGCGAGGUUGAGCGAAUCCCACAAAGUACGUCCCAGUUCGGAUCGAAGUCUGCAACUCGACUUCGUGAAGGCGGAAUCGCUAGUAAUCGCGCAUCAGCCAUGGCGCGGUGAAUACGUUCCCGGACCUUGUACACACC